AGUCAUAACAAAAAUAAAAUAAUUCAUCCAUCAUUUUAAGAUACCACUUUCAGAUAAAUGUAUAUCAUAUACAUAUAUAUUAAAAAAAAUUAUGUAUGUAUGACAUACACAUAAAUGAAAGUUACAAUAAUAUUUAUUUUGAUAACAUUUCGUCCAAUUCAUGUUUCGUUUCAAUAUUUGGAAGAAAAUUAUUUUACAAAUGAGAGUUAAAAAAAUAAAUAAAUACUUUUUUCAAUUACAUAACAACGAUUUUAAAAAAUUAAUUUUAUAAAUUGUGUAAAAUUUGGAUUUAUUAAAAUUUAUAUUUUAAUUAAAAUUUACAAAAGGAUAUCGGAAAGAUAGGAAUUUGGAACUUCUAUAUGCUAAAUCCUAUUAGAGCUGAAUAGAGUAAAAAUAGCGCGACACGUAAUGAACCCAACUGAAUCUCGACUUUCAAAUUCAUUGUAAUAUGAUUGACUGAAAGUUUUGAAAAUAACAACGUGAGUUCGUGCUCGCCAUCCAUAUGCAGCUGCGUUAGUUAUAAGAAAUAGUAACUAGAAAAUAGUCCUAGUUACAAUCGAUAGAUUUAAUCGAUAGACUUAAGAUGCUUUUUUGUUUUUAUCCCUAGUUUUUGUAAGAGUGUGCAAUAAAGGUUUUUUUUGGCUCAGAACGGUGUGAUAGAUUUAUCCAUUCAAUAAAAUAAUAACUAUUGUGAUCCUACCGCUAAGUAUAGAAAUAACAACAGAAAGAUUACUGGUUCAAGAAAGUAACAAAACUAUAUUCAAUUAAUCGAUCGUAUAUAAUAUAAACACAAUCAUGUGGCCCGAGAAAUUCGUUCUUAAAACGAUGUCAUGUGAACCUCCUCCGUCAAUCAAUCCUCCCUUGAAACGGCACUUUCCUGAAAAGUUUUUGUGAACGAAUUUUUUGGGUACCAAUGGAUGUUUUUGGCUCAAUAUUGGGGAUUUGCAUUAGAAAAAUAUGAUGCGUAAAAAAAUAGUCCUCGAAAUCGUACACAAAUCAGACAAUGAUUAAUUAAUAUACUACGGAUAUGUAUUUAUGCAAAUUCGUAUUUUUGUAUCUUCAGGUUUCCCAUAAAUGCAUACAAAUUUGCAGCCUACUAAUUCAUUUAUUUUCUAUUUGUGAAUAAUGACUCGAAUAACUUAUUCGUAUUUAUAAAAUUCGUGAUCUAUUAUCCGUUAUUGGAAUUAUAUUUUUGUCGAAUUUUUUGCUAUAACUUUGCCGUUGCUUUUGUCUAACACUGAUGUAAAUAUUCGAAUUCUAGAAGAAUACUGUAGGAGCAGGACACAAAAAUUGUUUUCAUAAUAUACAAGCAAUGUGUUAGAAUUCGAACGUAUUUAGAACUUGUAUAAAGGUUAGAUUCAUGAUGCUCUAAAGCAAUUAGUACUAUUACGGCAGCCCAAAAGAACAGGACGAUAGAAUAAUUUUCAACAGAAUAAUGAAAGUACCAAAGGUGAAGGUUGAAAAUCUUAGCUUGGCGCUCUUAUGUAUCCGGGGACACAUGCCGGAGGGGCUAAUUUGCGAAGGGGUUACAAUAUCGAUGGAUGUAUACAAGACCAGCUGGUCAGCGCUGUGUAUCGCUACAGAUGCCUUCCCGACACCGGAGGAUGUGAAAAAUUGUAUCCCAGUAAAACGACUUUUGCAGAUGAGCUUCGGAAAAUUUGGCGUAGUGAGGAGGGUACAAAUCAGCAUUCAGAAGCAACCGGAUGGGGAUGUAUCGUACAAGUGGCAGUUGUUGAUAGAUCCACAACAGCCUAGACGUAAGGCAUUUGGUGUGUACAUACAGGAUACGUUGCAGCACUAUCACGAAUCCACCUCGGAUCAGAUACAUAACUAACUCGAAGCUUCUACCACCUGACGAAAUUAACACAGAUAUAAAUUAUAUGUAAAAUAAUCUUGCAGCCUGAUAGAGAUAGUAACUUUUUACGACUACUUGGCUAUAGCUGUUGUAAGUUUGACAGAACAACGAAUGAUUUUAAAGGCUGACUAGGUAAAAAUGAAUAUCUUAGAUUAUAUUUUAUAUGACUGAUUUUUUUCAUAAUUAUUAUUAUUUUUUAAUAAAAUAACAUUUUUUGACAUCUUUCAAGAAUGAAUGUAUUGCGAAUGUAAAAAUGUAUUACAUAAAAUUAUAUAGUACUAUUUUAAUGACUAAACAUUAAUAAUUUAUACAAUUAUUUUUUUCAUAAUAUAAAUAUUUUUUAACAUUUUUUUAUAAACCGACAAGAAUGAUGAUACAAUAUUUCAUAUAACAUUAUAUGGUUUUAUUUCAACGACUAAAAUUUAUUUUAAUAUAUAAAUCGAUUCCUCGCGCUCUUUCAUAUCAGAAAAAUAUCUAUAAAAAUGCGAGCUACUGUCGAUUUAGCUAUUACAUUUAUGCUUAUCACAUUUGUAAUUUUUUUUGUAAACGCUUCUUUUUGGCAACUGUUUCUGAACGCAUAAAUGUGCGAAGUUAAACAAAUUAAUUUUACUCAUUGUAAUAAUAUAAUUUUAUGCGACAUUUUUUUUUAUUUAAUUAUAUUGUAUAGAUAACUAUAAAUAUACAAAUACAAGAAAAUAUUGUACAAUACAUUUAAAGCAUUUAAUAUUAAAAUGUUUUUUAAUAUGUAUGUUGGUAUAAAUGCAAGAAUAAAAUGUAAGAGCAAAUAUUAUAAACAUAAUGGAAUAAAAUAAAUCUUCUUUAUAUUCUUUAAUAA